AACAUGGUCUGUGAAGGAGGUGGAGGGAGUCUGUUUAUAGCUGGAUCACUCAUGCUGUGUCCUCAGAGCAGAAUUAGAAAAAGUAUGUCUUCUAGAUCAAGGCCUUGCCUAAAUAGGAAGUCUGGAGAUCACCUAAACAAAGAGAUGGCUGUGCGACUUUGAAGGAGCGUUGGCUUAUGUUCCUUUUCAGAGAAACAGCAAGUACUCCUAGUAUUACUGAUUACUGGAUUUAUGACUUGGGAUGUCUAUGAAUCCGGUAGUGGGUUGAUAAAUCUACUCUGAAACCUCCUGGAGACCUCAAACUCAAUAUCGAACGUGGGACCUCAUGCUGUAAGACUUGUUUUUUAAUCAUCAGGAUGUACAUUAGAAGGUGACAAUGUUCAAAUAUGGAAAUAUAUUAAACCAGACACCUAUUUAUUGGCACUUGCUGCUUAGGCAAGAAGGAUACUGCUUCUCAAGAAUUGCACCAAGAUACAACCUCCUCCCUAUUUUGCUAUAUCUUCAGUGAAACUCUGAUAUUGAAUACACAUCAUUGCCAGUGAAACAUCUUAGCAUCUGCAAUGGGAGGAUCUGCUGUACCAUAUUAAAAUUUAAUAUGGAGAACUUCGGUUUACCCAGGCUGCAGGCAUAUGUGUGAGAGCUGGGGAAGAUGGGCUAGGACAAAUUAACAGAGCAAUAUCCCACUGUGGGAAAAGACUUUGGUGACAAAAGUUGAACUGAACUUAUUGGGGAGAAACCUGACACAAAUUGGCAUAGAAUAGUUAUAGCAUUUUUUCACAUUUAAUGAAAAUAUUUCUGUAUUCUGCUGCAGAAAUAUUAAUGUGUGUGAUAAUGAGGUGCUUUGCCAGAAUCCACUAUAGUUUGUUAAAGUACCAUAAGGUUUACAUACUCUGUUAACUUCCUGAACUCCAAAAAAUUUCAGAAUUCCAGGUUUCAGCUGAUUUUUUGGGUUUCCAAGAGGGUCCGUGGACCUGAAUUUGGAUCGGAGGGUGUGAGGGGGUUAAUGAAUGGAAAAAGCUUUUCUGGAAAUCAUAGCCCAGAGUUCAGUGCUUGGCCUGCUGUGUUUAAAGUAAUCCUUGCUCAUGUGAGACCAAAAGUGACUCCAUUUUGCUAAUGUGAGACCAGAAUGACUCCAUUUUGUCCAAAAUGGAGCAGUCUCCUUUGUUCUUUCAAAUUAAUGAUUAAAUGUGCUUAA